UACGUAGGGAGCAAGCGUUGUUCGGAUUUACUGGGCGUAAAGGGCGCGUAGGCGGCGCGACAAGUCACUUGUGAAAUCUCCGGGCUUAACUCGGAACGGUCAAGUGAAACUGUCAUGCUAGAGUGCAGAAGGGGCAAUCGGAAUUCUUGGUGUAGCGGUGAAAUGCGUAGAUAUCAAGAGGGACACCUGAGGUGAAGACGGGUUGCUGGGCUGACACUGACGCUGAGGCGCGAAAGCCAGGGGAGCAAACGGG
rnacentral:rRNA from 1 species